UGGUGACAAUAGCAUUGUGGUCCCACCUGAUCCCAUCCCGAACUCAGAAGUGAAACGCAAUCGCGCCGAUGGUAGUGUGGGGUCUCCCCCCAUGUGAGAGUAGGUCAUCGCCA
rnacentral:rRNA from 1 species